UGUCUGUCUCUAGAUCCUAUAUGAAGGUGUUUAAGAUGCCAGUCACUUAUUAUUGCUUUUGAAGUCCGAGGAAAGACUACUGAACAGAAACCUCUAGCAAUAUUAUUAUUAUUAUUAUUAUCCAACACCCCACACAUAUAAUACCAUCACAAUACAAUAUAUAAUGAGGUGAGGCUGGUUAGUGUAAUGGACAUACUGAUGGUAGGUCGUGUCAGUAUUGUUUCAGGAGGCUGGGACACCGCUGUUGUUGUUGUUGCUGCCAUCGUUCCUUUACCUUUCAGAUUCCUGCUUCUGUCUGUCUUUUAAGAUUGCACUGAAACCGUAGCAGAAACUGGAGUUUAGAGUAGAGAAGCAGACCUAGGUGAUGUCCCACGUGGCACCCUAUUCCCUAUGUAGUGCACUACCCCUAUAGGCCCUGGUCAAGAGUAGUGCACUAUCUAGGGAAUAGGGUGCUAUUUAAGACGCCGCCCUGGUGUGAGCUGACACUGGUUCAGAGGCACAGACCUAGGAUCAGCGUAACCUGCCCCCUACCCUGACCUUACUGUCUAGUCCAGGUGAUCUUUAUCCUACUAGUCCCACUGCUGUAACGCUGCUAGCUGGACCUGCUAGAGUCCUUUAUCUGUCCCUCUAUCCCUGUCUCACGACAGUCUAAACCCAGCUCACGUUACCUAUUAGUGGAUGAACAAUCCAACGCUUGAUGAAAUCUACUAAUAACGCUGUUAGCUGGACCUGCUYGAGUCCUUUAUCUGUCCCUCUAUCCCUSUCUKUCUGGUUGGGGGGCCUGUGAUUGUAAAUACACCAAUCCUCUUCCUAUCUUUAUCUCUCUGUCUUGUCUGUGUUAUAUUCUUUACCUACUAUCUCGCUGUUCCUCUCCUCCAUUUCAUCUGCUGUUUUGAGUUCUCUACAAACAAUGAAUAAAGUCUGAUUUAAAUGAA